rnacentral:lncRNA from 1 species
GCCUUACAGAAGAAGAAGAAAAGGCACCCAUCGUCCCUGACAUCUCAUUCUUUUGACAUGAAGCUUGAGCUAAAAUUUGAAUGAAACAUAAAUAGAUUUUCAAGAAUAAGAGGACUCGGGUUGAUCGAUUACCAGAAUAUUAAGGCUCGGAUAGUUUUAUCAGACAAAUAGAAGGCAACCAUAUCAUGUCUGCAAAAUCACCUGUGGGUUGUCUCAAUGCUUAACUUUGUCAGCAUAGAAAUUGAAAAUCAUCAUGCCUCUAUUACUCAAAAGCGGAAGAUGAAACGUGCCACACAGACCCAAGUUUAUGGCUGAAGCUGCGGAUCGAAAACAUAUGAACAUUAUGCCUAUUUUUACAUUAACAUAGUGACCUAUUCAAAAUAUUCAUGAACAUGAGUUGUUGAUUUGGACAACAGGGGUUGCUCUGAUGGUAAGCAAUCCCCACUUCCAACCAAGAGGUGUGAGUUCGAGUCUCCCCAAGAGCAAGGUGAGAAGUUCUUGGACGGAAGGAUGCUGGAGGUCUAUUUGGUAACAGUCUCUCUAACCGAGGUAGGGUAAGGUCUGCCCUCCACAGAUCCUAUUAAGUGUGAU